rnacentral:rRNA from 1 species
UACGUAGGGCGCAAGCGUUGUCCGGAAUUAUUGGGCGUAAAGAGCUCGUAGGCGGCUUGUCACGUCGGAUGUGAAAGCCCGAGGCUUAACCUCGGGUCUGCAUUCGAUACGGGCUAGCUAGAGUGUGGUAGGGGAGAUCGGAAUUCCUGGUGUAGCGGUGAAAUGCGCAGAUAUCAGGAAGAACACCCGUGGCGAAGGCGGCUCUCUGGGACGGUACUGACGCUGAGACGCGAAAGCGUGGGGAGCGAACAGG